GACGAACGCUGGCGGCGUGCUUAACACAUGCAAGUCGAACGGAAAGGCCCUUCGGGGUACUCGAGUGGCGAACGGGUGAGUAACACGUGGGUGAUCUGCCCUGCACUUUGGGAUAAGCCUGGGAAACUGGGUCUAAUACCGAAUAGGACCACGCGCUUCAUGGCGUGUGGUGGAAAGCUUUUGCGGUGUGGGUUGGGCCCGCGGCCUAUCAGCUUGUUGGUGGGGUAAUGGCCUACCAAGGCGACGACGGGUAGCCGGCCUGAGAGGGUGACCGGCCACACUGGGACUGAGAGACGGCGCAGACUCCUACGGGAGGCAGCAGUGGGGAAUAUUGCACAAUGGGCGCAAGCCUGAGGCGGCGACGCCGCGUUAGGGAUGACGGCCUUCGGGUUGUAAACCUCUGUCAAUAGGGACGAAGCGCAAGUGACGGUACCUAUAGAAGAAGCACCGGCUAACUACGUG
rnacentral:rRNA from 1 species